UGGGGAAUAUUGGACAAUGGGCGAAAGCCUGAUCCAGCAAUGUCGCGUGAGUGAUGAAGGCCUUAGGGUUGUAAAGCUCUUUUACCCGGGAUGAUAAUGACAGUACCGGGAGAAUAAGCCCCGGCUAACUCCGUG
rnacentral:rRNA from 1 species